AUCCCGUAUAGAGACUAUGUGUCAAAAAGCUUAAAUAUCUCGGGUUAACUCGGAAUAUCAGUUAUCUAAUGAUUGAAAUCACAUCAAAAUGCUAUGAGGAAUCCAAAAAUGUGUAAUAUAUGCAAUUUGAAAAAGCUGAUAGCUACUUCCGUUCAUGGAAGUGAUAGAAACUUGAAAAUAUUCCUUUCGUUUGGUAUGUCUAUGAUAUUUCUAGUCAGUACGGAUAACACACUGGAAAUUAACUUCAUGAAAAAAUCUUUUGUAGUUCCCCAUAUAAUUUUUGGUGAGUGUUAGAAAUAAUGACUCUGCAUAGAUAAAUAAUAUCAUCCAUAACUUCCAUAAAAAACUUAUGAAUUGAUGUUUGACAAAAACUUGAAUAAUGUUUGUUUCGACUUCAAAAUUUAAAUAAAGUUAACGUCAUCAUCAUAAUUGAAGUGAAUAAUUUCAAUAGAAAAUAUUAUGUAAUCUCUAAAUCGUUUUUACAAAAUUUGAAAGAAUAUGGUUUGCAAUUCAAAAUUAUUUCAUCGAUGACAAUUGCUCCAGAAGUUCCGAACAAAACAAUUCUGUCUUGGAAACCUAAAUAAAUAAUCAUUUUUUUGAACCAGAAUCUGUAUGGCUCACUGUACCUAUAAGUGCUAUGUACUUUACCAAGAUUCUGCUAGGAAAAUCAAACAUCCUAACCUGAAAUUAUAAUGGAAUUCUAUCGAGAAUACGAAAGUACUCUCAAAGAGCAUAUUAUGGUUGUGGUUCCAGAAAGAAUUAUAGAUUUCAUAGGCAAUUUAGUAGGUAAACAUUCGGACAUUUUAAAAAUUUCUGAAUAAUAAUUUUGGAAUUUCAUGAGGUAAAGAUUUGUACAUUUCAAAAAUUUCUGAAAGAUAAUUUCGCAGUAACAUGAGGUGCAUAUCACGAACUAUUGGAUAAUUUGUAUGAUAUUUUUAUGGAACUUUACCUUUUGCUAUUGUUUUUCCUUGAAGUUUUGAAAAGUGCUAGUAUAGCCAUUGAAUUCACGUUGAAUAUUAGAUAGAAAAUAAUUUUUUCAGGAUGAAAGUUUUAAUGGAAUACAUCAGGUACAUAAGUAUCAACAUAAAGAUUUUCAUGUGAUGCUAAUAAUUUGAAAAGAAAUACAUAUCUUCAUUAUUCACUGAAAAAAGCAUAUUACAGAUAACUACUGUGUGCCUGUUGGAUCGAAAAAUAUGUACAUAAAUGCAGACAGAAAAACGUUGUGUAUACCUAUUUCCUCAUAUUUCAGUGUCAAAAUGUUCUGUCAAUCAACUUUCAAAUUACAGUGAGGCUCCAUAUACCUAUAAGUAUUUCUGAAGAAUAAAGAUAUUUGAUUGUUUUUCCAGUUACUGAAACUUGAACCAUUUUUUACGUAGAAAUCGAGGUGAAUAUUGGAGAACCUCUUUGAGUAAAUUAAAAAACUCAUUGUCUCAUAUUCAGUGAAAUUGAGAUAUCUGUUAUAAUAUCGAAGACUUUAUUCUUUUGUAAUGUGUAUUCAGAACACUGAUAUACU